GACGAACGCUGGCGGCGUGCUUAACACAUGCAAGUCGAACGGAAAGGCCCUGCUUUUGUGGGGUGCUCGAGUGGCGAACGGGUGAGUAACACGUGAGUAACCUGCCCUUGACUUUGGGAUAACUUCAGGAAACUGGGGCUAAUACCGGAUAGGAGCUCCUGCUGCAUGGUGGGGGUUGGAAAGUUUCGGCGGUUGGGGAUGGACUCGCGGCUUAUCAGCUUGUUGGUGGGGUAGUGGCUUACCAAGGCUUUGACGGGUAGCCGGCCUGAGAGGGUGACCGGCCACAUUGGGACUGAGAUACGGCCCAGACUCCUACGGGAGGCAGCAGUGGGGAAUAUUGCACAAUGGGCGGAAGCCUGAUGCAGCAACGCCGCGUGCGGGAUGACGGCCUUCGGGUUGUAAACCGCUUUCGCCUGUGACGAAGCGUGAGUGACGGUAAUGGGUAAAGACGCACCGGCUAACUACGUG
rnacentral:rRNA from 1 species